rnacentral:rRNA from 1 species
CCUACGGUGGGCUGCAGUGGGGAAUAUUGCACAAUGGGGGAAACCCUGAUGCAGCAACGCCGCGUGAUUGAGGAAGAAUUUCGGUAUGUAAGGCUCUAUCAGCAGGGAAGAAGCAAGCCGUUACCUGACUAAAAACCCCCGGCUAACUACGUGCCAGCAGCCGCGGUAUUCCGUCGGGGGCAAGCGUUAUCCGAAUUUACUGGGCGUAAAGCGCUCGUAGGCGGUAUGUCAAGUAAAGGGUGAAAUCCCCGCGCUCAACGUGGGAACUGCCUUUGAAACUGGCAAACUGGAGUGUGUGAGAGGAUAGUGGAAUUCCAGGUGUAGGAGUGAAAUCCGUAGAUAUCUGGAGGAACAUCAGUGGCGAAGGCGACUAUCUGGCACAUAACUGACGCUGAGGAGCGAAAGCGUGGGUAGCAAACAGGAUUAGAUACCCGAGUAGUC